GACGAACGCUGGCGGCGUGCUUAACACAUGCAAGUGGAGCGACGAACCAGGGCUUGCCCUGGGGCAGAGCCGCGAACGGGUGAGUAACACGUGGGUUACCUGCCUCGAUGACCGGGACAACCCGAGGAAACUCGGGCUAAUACCGGAUGUGCCCGCAAGGGGAAAGGAAGCUUCGGCCUCCGCAUCGAGAUGGGCCCGCGGCCCAUUAGCUUGUUGGUGAGGUAACGGCUCACCAAGGCUUCGAUGGGUAGCUGGUCUGAGAGGACGAUCAGCCACACUGGGACUGAGACACGGCCCAGACUCCUACGGGAGGCAGCAGUGGGGAAUCUUGCGCAAUGCGCGAAAGCGUGACGCAGCAACGCCGCGUGGGGGAAGAAGGCUUUCGGGUUGUAAACCCCUUUCAGUUGGGACGAAGCUUCGCCGGUGAACAGCCGGGCGGAGUGACGGUACCUUCACAAGAAGCACCGGCUAACUACGUGCCAGCCGCCGCCGUAACAC
rnacentral:rRNA from 1 species